AAAAGCAUGAGCUUUAUAUAUAAUAAAGAGAUCAAAUUAUAUUCUUUCUGGUACAUUCAUAGGGGGAAAAUAUGGUUGCAAUUCUAAAAUUUAUUUAUUCUAUACUUCUCUUUAUUUUCUUACAUCUUGUAUCAACGAAUGGUUACAGAAAUAUUAAAUAUUGUUUUAUUGAUACCGAUUGUCCAAGAAGCAUGUGCCAUUAUCCUGAAAUUGUGAGGUGCGUUGACCAAUGCAAAUGUGUUAGAAUAAUGCCAUAAAGUUUAUCUGGUUAUUCUACUGGCACAGGAUAUUAGAGAUAUUAUUUAAUUAUUUUUCUUAAUUUCACAAACACUUAUGGUUUGUAUUCUAUAAUAAAACAAUAAAAUGGAAUAAAGUUGUAAAAAGGUUUGAAACCCUCCUAUAGUACUAUUUUAUGUGGGAUAACUCAAAUAUGAAUUUAUGUGACAACUAGGGUACCUAUGGAAGAAUGGUGGGUAAUUUACCCCAACCAAUAUACAUUAGCCACGUAAGCACAUUUUUAAGUGGUAUCCAUGAAUUAUCUAUCUUGACCCCACCAACAAAUUGCUCAUUUUCAUUGGUUGGUGGGUAAAUUACUCACCAUUCUUCAAAGGUAAUCUAGAAAAAACCAUGAAUUUAAUGAGGUCUCUACAAGUGGACAUUGAAUUUUUUUCCCUAGAUUAGUUAGCCCUUGUGUCGACGAUAAAUUUAAUGGUUAGAAUUCACCUUAUAAGAAAGUGAAUAAAUGGGGUGUCUGAGGUUCGAACCCCGACCCCUACAUAUAAUAAUGCAAGCGCAUGUUCUACCGCAUAAAAUAUCAAUCACACAAGGUCUAGUAUUUAUUUCCAAUUUAUUUUUCUAAGAUGAUUAAUUAAAAAGAUUGAAACUUUGAAGUUGAUUUUGGUAUGAAAUAAAAGUUUUAAA